CUUGAAUAUAAAAGCUUGGGUGCUUAUACUGUCAGCUAUUACCCCAGAAUGUGACUGUGUUUGAUGUGUGAACGUGCUGGUAUUCAGGAAGCUAGAAUUGUUGCUAUGGUGGUUCGGUGAGGAGUGUUACUGAUUGAGGUUUCCCAAGGGGACGCUACUCAGAAGCUGGCUCACCAAGUCCCGACCCAGACUGCUGCUACUCAUCGCCGGCUUGAAGAGACCGCAGGUCACCCUCAUGCGGAGGAAAAGGAUGAAACGCACAAAAGUAGCAAAGGCCACGUAAGCGAACCUGCAGUCGAAUGCCACAUUUCACCUAAGUUGUUGACACAGACAGAGACCCCACCUGUUGCAGAAAUGGAAGCAAAUCAAGACACAGAGAAACCACAUUACCCAUAUCUACCAAACUUACAAACUAAAUGCCCAAGUGAAUCCAGAAGGGGUUCAGAGUGUGCUGUGAAAAUGAGGGAUCUCCCACAAAGAUCCAGACCCCCUGACUAAAAUCUGGAGCAUCACAUUGACAUUUGUUCAUCCUUCUCUCAAAUACACAUCUGUCAUGCUUCAUUACACUACACAGCGUGUCACAGUACAUGAUUGCUAUCAUUACUCCUUUAAGUGCCUUUGGUUGACAGUGAUUUUACUGUGUUCUGUGGUCAGGAUUUCAGGGAUUUUUAUUUUUGAUACCAAAUGAUGUGUGAGUGGAAAAAGAAAAAAAGAAAAAAAAAAAAGAAAAAAAGAUGUAUAGAUACCAUAAGCUAGUAACUAGCACACCAGCAGGUUUUACAUACUGUUGAUCUGAUCAGACUGACCUUUACUUUGUCCUUAAGAGUAAAACAAUUCUUGUAAAUGUCAAUAUCAAAUUAAAACAACCUUCACUAAUAUUUUAUAUCACACUACAAACAUGCAUUUCUUGACCCCUUUAAAAUGUAACCAACAUAAAAAAAAAAAUAAAAAAAAAAUACUUUUAAGAAUGUAAAAACAAAUUUUGAAGACAUUAUUUGACAUUAUUCAUGUUAAUAAUUUAUUGUUUUUUUCUGAAGAUGUCUACAGAGUAAUAAUUAACAUUUUAAUAAAGAAACAUUUUGCACUAAUUGUUAACGUGAAUCUCACAUAACCUAUUAAGGUCCUGGUCAUAUUUCAAUAUUGAAAGAAAAAACUAAGAAAUUAUAUUUUCCAUAAAGAAAAUUAAGCCUACUUUUAGGACCAUUAGCAUUUUUCCAUAACAAAGCAACAGUAAAAUUUUACAGUAAAAUUACUGUAAUACAAUUAUUAAGGCAGUACAACAAAUACAACUGAUAUAAAUGCUUUCAAAUGUAUAUUGUAUAACGGUAAUAAGAAUUGUUUUUUUCUCUUUGCACUACGGUAAAAACAAUUUAGGGGAAUAUGUGUUUGUCAUGAAAAUAAUGUUACAAUGCAAAGAUAAAAAAUCAUAAUAUUCUUCAAAAUCAGCAUCACCUUCUUUAUAUAUAAUAUAAUAUUUAUUUCACCCCAAAAUCUAAAUAAAAACUAAUGUUUUACUGUAAAAGUACUGUAAUACAAUGAUUGUUUUGAAGGUAGUACAACAAAUACUACUGUGAGGUAUAAACAUUUUAAAAUUUAAAUAAUAUACACAUUUUUUUUAUUUAAUAAUAAUAAUUUAUUUAUUGCAUUGCAGUAAUGACAAUUAGACUCUGUACAAAACCUCCAGCAACAAGCUGCAGCACGAGUCACAAAAUAUAUGCUUGCACAGUUUGAAAAUGUACUAAAUUAUAUUCUCUUCAAUUAAUUUUGUCUUUUAUGUUCAUAUUGUCUUUUACCUUUGGUUACUCUGUCAAAGCAGACACAGAUUUGUUUGAAGAAUCACAUACGUUUAAUUUCAGAUCAUUUUAGCUUCUACUCAAUGAAUAAACAAGGUAACACUUUAUAUAAAGUC